GGCAAAAACGUCCAGCCCUCUUAUUGGUCGGAUGUGUCUAGGGGUGGGAGCAAGAAAGUAAACAGGAAGAAGGUCCCGCGUUCUGAACUAAUGCACAUUUCUUGCA